CCCUUAGACGUUCUGGGCCGCACGCGUGCUACACUGAGUGGAUCAGCGGGUCAGGUUGCGCGAAAGUGUUUCCUAAUCUUUAAAUCCGCUCGUGAUGGGGAUUGACGGUUGCAAUUUUCCGUCAUGAACGAGGAAUACCUUGUAAGCGCGGGUCAUCAUCCCGCGCUGAAUACGUCCCUGCCCUUUGUACACACCGCCCGUCGCUCCUACCGAUUGAGUGGUCCGGUGAGGCUUUGGGAUCUGAGCGGAAAGAGCGUUUCGCUGUUUCUGCCCGGAAAACUCAGUCGAACCUUAUCAUUUAGAGGAAGGAGAAGUCGUAACA
rnacentral:rRNA from 1 species